AGUGAACGCUGGCGGUAGGCCUAACACAUGCAAGUCGAACGGCAGCACAGUAAGAGCUUGCUCUUACGGGUGGCGAGUGGCGGACGGGUGAGGAAUACAUCGGCAUCUACUUUUUCGUGGGGGAUAACGUAGGGAAACUUACGCUAAUACCGCAUACGACCUACGGGUGAAAGCAGGGGAUCUUCGGACCUUGCGCGAUUGAAUGAGCCGAUGUCGGAUUAGCUAGUUGGCGGGGUAAAGGCCCACCAAGGCGACGAUCCGUAGCUGGUCUGAGAGGAUAAGCAGCCACACUGGAACUGAGACACGGUCCAGACUCCUACGGGAGGCAGCAGUGGGGAAUAUUGGACAAUGGGCGCAAGCCUGAUCCAGCCAUACCGCGUGGGUGAAGAAGGCCUUCGGGUUGUAAAGCCCUUUUGUUGGGAAAGAAAAGCAGCAGGUUAAUACCCCGCUGUUCUGACGGUACCCAAAGAAUAAGCACCGGCUAACUUCGUG
rnacentral:rRNA from 1 species